UACGUAGGGUGCGAGCGUUGCUCGGAAUUACUGGGCGUAAAGCGCACGUAGGCGGAUUGUUAAGUCGGGGGUGAAAUCCUGGAGCUCAACUCCAGAACUGCCUUCGAUACUGGCGAUCUCGAGUUCGGGAGAGGUGAGUGGAACUGCGAGUGUAGAGGUGAAAUUCGUAGAUAUUCGCAAGAACACCAGUGGCGAAGGCGGCUCACUGGCCCGAUACUGACGCUGAGGCGCGAAAGCGUGGGGAGCAAACAGG
rnacentral:rRNA from 1 species